GUGAUGCUUAUAUUGGAUACAUUCUCGAACUUUCAUGCAUGUUGUUUAUCUACAUUAUAUGCAAAUGCCAAUGAUACAGAUAUAAAACUAAAUAAAUUCUUACAUGAAGACUGGCAAUCAAACUAAAACAAACAUCUGUCUGUUUAAAAUGGUGUUCAGCUUAUCGAUCUUUAUGGUUGAAUGUGAAGCAUUUGAAUCCAAGGCUAUCUCGGACAUACCAUUGAGAGGAAGACAGGAGAUUAUUCAAGAUAAGACCCAAUAAUUUAACGGUGUUGUCACAAAUUUCAUGAACACGAUGGUUCUAUAUUUAGAGUGUUGGAACUGUUCAGAUUCAGAUGUGUAAUGGUUUCAAUUGUAUUUAUAUAAUGGUUCUCUAAUCUAUAUAAUAUCAGUGUUUGCCAUUAUAA